rnacentral:rRNA from 1 species
AAGCUCUGUUGUUAGGGAAGAACAAGUGCGAGAGUAACUGCUCGCACCUUGACGGUACCUAACCAGAAAGCCACGGCUAACUACGUGCCAGCAGCCGCGGUAAUACGUAGGUGGCAAGCGUUGUCCGGAAUUAUUGGGCGUAAAGGGCUCGCAGGCGGUUUCUUAAGUCUGAUGUGAAAGCCCCCGGCUCAACCGGGGAGGGUCAUUGGAAACUGGGAAACUUGAGUGCAGAAGAGGAGAGUGGAAUUCCACGUGUAGCGGUGAAAUGCGUAGAGAUGUGGAGGAACACCAGUGGCGAAGGCGACUCUCUGGUCUGUAACUGACGCUGAGGAGCGAAAGCGUGGGGAGCGAACAGGAUUAGAUACCCUGGUAGUCCACGCCGUAAACGAUGAGUGCUAAGUGUUAGGGGGUUUCCGCCCCUUAGUGCUGCAGCUAACGCAUUAAGCACUCCGCCUGGGGAGUACGGUCGCAAGACUGAAACUCAAAGGAAUUGACGGGGGCCCGCACAAGCGGUGGAGCAUGUGGUUUAAUUC